ACCAGACAGGACUGCAUUAGGAGGAACGCCAGGGUGUCCACAGUCAAUCACUACAAUACAUAAUUAUUGAAUAUAAAAUUUUUUUAUAUCUCCUAUCGAACAACCUGCACCAUGCUUUAUAAAAUAAAUCAGAAGUAAAUUAUCUCUUCAAAUAUAACUAGCCUCCAGAAGUCAAAAGUCGAUGUUAAAGCUGGCUUUUCAAAAACAAAAUGGAAGUUACAGCUACAUGAGCAAUCCUGUUAACCCACUCACCAUGUUUAGCAGGAACAUGGCACCUGGUUUCAGAUCCACUCCAAAGACCUGAAGAGAGACAUUCCCGUACGGCAGAGCCCACAAGCAUGAAUCCUGAAUCACAGGUACCAUUAGGAAGACAUUCAAUAGAAGCAGGACCUAGUCCAUGAUAACCAGGAUCACAGCUGAAAACUACCUUAGUUUUGUAUUCAUAAUGGGAGCCAUUCACAAUUCGCCAUCUUCCAUGUUCCAAGGCUCCACACCCAGUAUGGAUCCCAAAGCAGAGCUUCAACUUAUACUCUGAGAUCAAGAGUCAGAUGGUUAACCAACUGAGCCACCCAGGCACUCCUGUAUGUCAGUAUCUUUUGAGGAUGACUACUGCUUAAAUAGUGCCAUGUUUUAGUUCAAAUGUGUACAGAUGUCU